CUCCAUGAAGGCCCUUGGCCAGAUAUAAUUAAGGAGUUGGCUCUGAAUAGCUCAUAAAUAAUAUUAACAUUUCUAAUUUUUCUCACAAUUACACAUAUCUACUUGUACGCUUUUUAAAUAAUAUGACUCUGAUACCAAUUAUAGGGGGUGUGGAUAACUUGGAAAAUUUAAAUAGAUCUAUUAUAACUAUAAUAGAUCUAUUUUUAUUUGUGCGUGAAUAUUUCUUAACUUCUCUAAACAUUUUUAUUUUUAAUUUAUUUAUUUUAGUUUUAUUGAUGUUCAUAUCCUG
rnacentral:lncRNA from 1 species